rnacentral:misc_RNA from 1 species
GAUGAAGAACGUAGCGAAAUGCGAUAAGUAAUGUGAAUUGCAGAAUUCAGUGAAUCAUCGAAUCUUUGAACGCACAUUGCGCCCGCCAGUAUUCUGGCGGGCAUGCCUGUUCGAGCGUCAUUAUCACCCCUCAAGCCUAGCUUGGUGUUGAGAACUGCUGUCAAGGCAGUCUCUAAAAUCAGUGGCAGUGCUGUCAGGCUCUAAGCGUAGUAAAUUCAUCGCUAUAGACACCUGGUGACCACUCGCCAGAACCCCCCCAUUUUUUAAUGAUUGACCUCGGAUUAGGUAGGGAUACCCGCUGAACUUAAGCAUAUCAAUAAGCGGAGGA